rnacentral:rRNA from 1 species
AACGAACGCUGGCGGCAGGCUUAACACAUGCAAGUCGAGCGCGUAGCAAUACGAGCGGCAGACGGGUGAGUAACGCGUGGGAAUCUACCCAACCCUACGGAAUAACGCAUGGAAACGUGUGCUAAUACCGUAUGUGCUCUUCGGAGGAAAGAUUUAUCGCCAAAGGAUUGGCCCCGCGUUGGAUUAGGUAGUUGGUGGGGUAAUGGCCUACCAAGCCGACGAUCCAUAGCUGGUUUGAGAGGAUGAUCAGCCACACUGGGACUGAGACACGGCCCAGACUCCUACGGGAGGCAGCAGUGGGGAAUCUUAGACAAUGGGGGGAAACCCUGAUCUAGCCAUGCCGCGUGAUCGAUGAAGGCCUUAGGGUUGUAAAGAUCUUUCAGUGGGGAAGAUAAUGACGGUACCCACAGAAGAAGCCCCCGGCUAACUCCGUGCCAGCAGCCGCGGUAAU